GGCUGUCAAUUACCUAUGGACCCGCGGCGCUGUAGCUGGUUGGUGGGGUAAUGGCUCACCAAAGCGACAAUCCGUAUCCGACCUGAAAGGGUGAUCGGCCACACUGGGACUGAGACACAGCCCAAACUCCUACGGGAGGCAGCAAUAUGGAAUCUUCCGCAAUGGACGAAAGUCUGACGGACCAACGCCGCGUGAGUGAUGAAGGUUUUCGGAUCUUAAUGCUCUGUUGUUAGGGAAAAACAAGUGCGACAGUAACUGCUCGCACCUUGACGGUACCUAACCAGAACGCCACGGCUAACUACGUGCCAGCAUCCGCGGUAAUACGUAGGUGGCAAGCGUUGUCCGGAAUUAUUGGGCGUAAAGGGCUCGCAGGCGGUUUCUUAAGUCUGAUGUGAAAUCCCCCGGCUCAACCGGGGAGGGUCAUUGGAAACUGGGAAACUUGAGUGCAGAAGAGGAGAGUGGAAUUCCACGUGUAACGGUGAAAUGCGUAGAGAUGUGGAGGAACACCAAUGGCGAAUGAGACUCUCUGGUCUGUAACUGACGCUGAAGAGCAUAAGCGUGUGGAGCGAACAGGAUUAGAUACGCUGGUAGUCCACGCCAUAAACGAUGAGUGCUACGUGUUAGGGGGUUUCUUCCCCUUACUGCUGCAGCUAUAGCAUUACGCACUCCGCCUGCGGAGUACUGGUCUCAAGACCGACACUCACAGGAAUUGACGGGGACCCGCACAAGCGGUCGUAGCAUGUGAUUAAAUUCGCAUGCAGCGUCGAAGACACCUACCUAGACAUGACGUCCUGCUGACACUCUAGAGAUAGGGCUUUCGCAUGGUGGACGUCAGUGACAUGUCGUGCAUGUAGUAGUCAUCUCAUCACGACGAGCAGGUCGGCUACUCCCGCACGAUCGUCACCCU
rnacentral:rRNA from 1 species